AACGAACGCUGGCGGCAGGCCUAACACAUGCAAGUCGAACGCACCGCAAGGUGAGUGGCGCACGGGUGAGUAACACGUGGGAAUGUACCCUUUGGUUCGGAAUAACGUUUGGAAACGAACGCUAAUACCGGAUGAGCCCUACGGGGGAAAGAUUUAUCGCCAAAGGAGCAGCCCGCGUCUGAUUAGCUAGUUGGUGGGGUAAAGGCCUACCAAGGCGACGAUCAGCAGCUGGUCUGAGAGGAUGAUCAGCCACACUGGGACUGAGACACGGCCCAGACUCCUACGGGAGGCAGCAGUGGGGAAUAUUGGACAAUGGGCGGAAGCCUGAUCCAGCCAUGCCGCGUGAGUGAUGAAGGCCUUCGGGUUGUAAAGCUCUUUCGCACACGACGAUGAUGACGGUAGUGUGAGAAGAAGCCCCGGCUAACUUCGUGCCAGCCGCCGCCGUAAGAC
rnacentral:rRNA from 1 species